UUCUUUGGAAACCAAAUUAAAAGUUUGAAAAAUAAAAAAAAUAAAAUCCACUUCCCUAUAAUUAAGCCACCUUAAUCCCAAACCAAAACUAACACUUAACAACCCAAUUUCAUCCACUUACUAUUUUUUUUCUGAAUUUUAAACCCAAUCCAACACCACCAACAAACAACCCAUUAAAAAGUAACAAAAAUAAAUUCAAUUGCUC
rnacentral:lncRNA from 1 species